UACGUAGGUGGCAAGCGUUGUCCGGAUUUAUUGGGUUUAAAGGGUGCGUAGGCGGUUCUAUAAGUCAGUGGUGAAAUCCGGCAGCUCAACUGUCGAUGUGCCAUUGAUACUGCAGAACUUGAGUACAGACGAGGUAGGCGGAAUUGACGGUGUAGCGGUGAAAUGCUUAGAUAUCGUCAAGAACACCGAUAGCGAAGGCAGCUUACUAGACUGUAACUGACGCUGAUGCACGAAAGUGUGGG
rnacentral:rRNA from 1 species